AACAUUUUAGUUUAUUUUUGUCUGAUAAGUCUACGUUUUGCACUGCUAACUACGAUGAGGGUUUAAAAAAAUGCUUCUUCAGGGUCCUUUCACUGAGGACCUAUGCAGUCUACUUAAUGCUGUGAAUUACAUUUUUCAAAUGUUUAAUUUUUUAAAGAAAAUUAAUAUUCUAUUUUUGUUAGGCUUCUCUAGAAAUGCAGCUUUUAUUUAUUACCCCACUUCUUUCAAGUCCUUGAAAAAUAACAUAUUAAGGGUACAAGAAAUUAACACAUGAUGGAAAAGUCAUUGUGACGCAAAUGAAUUUCAUUGAGUAUAAACUGAUCUACUUCAAAUUUAUUUUAUAAGACAACCUAAGAUACUCAAGAUAAUUAUUUAAUGGUUAGCUCUUAAGUUGAAUUGGUCUACAUAAUGCGUGGGAAGAAAACCAGAUUUUUAGCCUUCUUGCCAAAUCCAGACCUCUGGUUGAUUUUUCUUUGACAGAAGAUGCAAGUUAUUUUCCAAUUUCACAAAUUAAAUGUAUUUAACAUGAACAUUAUUUUGCUUUACAAACUAUAAACAUUGUAGGAGAAUUAUAGCCAGUCUUCAGUUAUAACCACUCCACCCUCCUCAAUUUCUCUCUCUCUCUCUCUCUCUUUUUUUUUUUUUUUUUGCUAUGGGAUUUAAUGGGAAAAAUAUGUAAAAACUGUCACUAGUCAGCUGGCUCUUUUUCCUAUGAAAUCUAUCAGUACCUUUCUCCAUCCAUUGUUCUCAAUAAUGACCACAGAGCCUGAGUAUACCAAGAAAACCAAUAUUCGCAUUACAGGUUGCUCCUGUCCUUCCAGACACCUUUCCUGCCUGUGUGACUAACCUAAUUUUGCUAGUUCCAUAAAUACACGAUUAGUUUAGUAACAGCCAUCACAAUGUACCAUGUACAUUUAUGGUGAGAGCUAAAGAUCGACACAGACUUCUAGGAGCUUUGUUCAUACUGAUUACUUAAUCCAAUUGUAUAGAUUGAAUAUUUGAGUGGAAGGAAUUUACACUCUGUUUAAAUGAUGGGAUUCUAUCGAGAUAGCACUCAUGAUCAUGACCUUUUUGGUAGUAUUCUUAAACAAAAUUCUACAGAGACUAAAUGUUAGAGAUGAUCCUCCAUUUUCAAUUUUAACCAAUUCUGUCCCCUUUCUCAAAACCCUGAGCCCUGUGCAUGCUUUCUCAGUCUUGUGGUGGGACUGGAUACAAUGACUAACUUCCCCUCCUCCCCUCUUUAAACACUAUUUUCCAUGGAGUUCAAAGAAAUUUUUUUUCUUAACGUUACAUAUCAUAGUGAAUGGUUUCCCCAGUGUAUAUGAAUGUUUUAAGUGUCUCCAAUAGCUUAUGCAGUCUAGGAGCUUUCCAAUACUCAUUUAAUUAAGAUUUAAUCAUUUGCUAAUGGAAAUCUUACCACCUUUCAUUUUCCCUCUAUUACCAAAUUUCAGCUCUUAGGAGCUGCUCUACAAUUCUGAAUUUGCUUUUCUUGCCUCUCUUUAGUCACCUGUCACAGGAGGUUCCUGCUCAGUAAUGAUAUUGUGAGUUAGGAUAAUAACUUUUUUUUUUUGUGCUUCAGAUUUAGAAGAAAAGAUCCUGUUUCCAUUUGAAAGGAACUGUAAGCUUUUAUCUUUUAACCAACUGAACAAUACACCAAAAGCAGCCUAGGGAUGAGCAUUUCUUUGAAAGCAAUUAGGUUAUUCACCUGGUAUUAAAACUAUUUACUGUUAAAAAAUCUGUGACUUCAUGAAGUUGAUUUUUAAAGGCAGCAUCAAAAACUGAAAAGGAAGGGAAAAAAUAGGCAGCUUCUCUGCACUUGUUUGGAGCUCCCCAAAACAGGAGCCAUGGAGAAGUGGCACCAAGACCGGGCUGCCCUUUCGAGAACACCCUGUGGCAGUUCAGAGACACGCUUUUCCUACACUGCAUGCAGCCCCUCUUUCCAGCACUGGAAAGAAGUGGUCUUGAGCCCGGCUGAGAAGCACUUCACACUCCUCUCUCUUGUUCUGAAUGGUGUUUGUGUCAGUCUGCAGCUGUGUAUGGUAUUAUGUCUUAUAAUCCUGCAUCACUUCUAUCCUAUCCAGUCAUAUCUAAUGUAGAAAAUUAGUUUCCAGUGAAAGUAAUAUGUAGUGCUUUUAUGAUAUUUGUGUGCAAUAUCCCCUCUUCCAUUGAGGAUAUUUGAUGUAAAGGAAAAAAAAAAACUCAGUUCCACAAUAAAAUACAAAAGUG
ensembl:lncRNA